rnacentral:rRNA from 1 species
UACGUAGGUGACAAGCGUUGUCCGGAUUUACUGGGCGUAAAGAGCGCGCAGGCGGUCGAUCAAGUCGAGUGUGAAAGCCCGGGGCUCAACUCCGGAAUUGUAUCCGAUACUGCCAUGCUUGAGGACUGGAGAGGAGUCUGGAAUUCAUGGUGGAGCAGUGAAAUGCGUAGAUAUCAUGAGGAACGCUAGUGGCGUAGGCGAGACUCUGGACAGUUCCUGACGCUGAGGCACGAAGGCCAGGGGAGCAAACGGG